rnacentral:rRNA from 1 species
CUGGCUCAGGACGAACGCUGGCGGCGUGCUUAACACAUGCAAGUCGAACGAUGAAGAAAAGAAUUGAAGCUUCGGCAGAAAUUCAUUUCGGAUUAGUGGCAGACGGGUGAGUAACGCGUGAGCAACCUACCUCUUACAAAGGGAUAGCCUCGGGAAACCGGGAUUAAUACCAUAUAACAUUGCGACGAAGCAUUUCGAUGCAAUCAAAGCUACGGCGGUAAGAGAUGGGCUCGCGUCCCAUUAACCGGAUGGUGAGGUAACGGCUCACCAUAGUGACGAUGGGUAACCGGCCUGAGAGGGUGAACGGUCACACUGGAACUGAGACACGGUCCAGACUCCUACGGGAGGCAGCAGUGGGGAAUAUUGCACAAUGGAGGGAACUCUGAUGCAGCGACGCCGCGUGAGUGAUGAAGGAAUUCGUUUCGUAAAACUCUGUUCUAUGGGAAGAAAAGGACUGUACCAUAGGAGAAAGCUCCGGCUAAAUACGUGCCAGCAGCCGCGGUAAUACGUAUGGAGCGAGCGUUGUCCGGAAUUAUUGGGCGUAAAGGGUGCGCAGGCGGCUUUACAAGUUGGAUGUGAAAUAUUGUGGCUCAACCACAAACGUGCAUCCAAAACUGCAAAGCUUGAGUUAAGGAGAGGUAAGUGGAAUUCCUGGUGUAGCGGUGGAAUGCGUAGAUAUCAGGAGGAAUACCGGUGGCGAAGGCGACUUACUGGACUUAAACUGACGCUCAGGCACGAAAGCGUGGGGAGCAAACAGGAUUAGAUACCCUGGUAGUCCACGCCGUAAACGAUGAGUGCUAGGU